rnacentral:rRNA from 1 species
CGGGGACCCGCACAAGCGGUGGAGCAUGUGGUUUAAUUCGACGAUACGCGAAGAACCUUACCUGCCCUUGACAUAGAAAGAACUUACUAGAGAUAGUUUGGUGCUAGCUUGCUAGAACUUUCAUACAGGUGCUGCACGGCUGUCGUCAGCUCGUGUCGUGAGAUGUUGGGUUAAGUCCCGCAACGAGCGCAACCCUCGUGUUUAGUUACUAACAGUUCGGCUGAGGACUCUAGACAGACUGCCUGGGUAACCAGGAGGAAGGUGAGGACGACGUCAAGUCAUCAUGGCCCUUACGGCCAGGGCUACACACGUGCUACAAUGGGGUAUACAAAGAGCCGCAAUACCGCGAGGUGGAGCAAAUCUCAUAAAAUAUCUCCCAGUUCGGAUUGAAGUCUGCAACUCGACUUCAUGAAGUUGGAAUCGCUAGUAAUCGUGAAUCAGCAAUGUCACGGUGAAUACGUUCCCGGGUC